GUGGGAAUCUGCCCCUUGGUUCGGAAUAACAGUUGGAAACGACUGCUAAUACCGGAUGAUGACGUAAGUCCAAAGAUUUAUCGCCGAGGGAUGAGCCCGCGUAGGAUUAGGUAGUUGGUGUGGUAAAGGCGCACCAAGCCGACGAUCCUUAGCUGGUCUGAGAGGAUGAUCAGCCACACUGGGACUGAGACACGGCCCAGACUCCUACGGGAGGCAGCAGUGGGGAAUAUUGGACAAUGGGCGAAAGCCUGAUCCAGCAAUGCCGCGUGAGUGAUGAAGGCCUUAGGGUUGUAAAGCUCUUUUACCCGGGAUGAUAAUGACAGUACCGGGAGAAUAAGCUCCGGCUAACUCCGUGCCAGCAGCCGCGGUAAUACGGAGGGAGCUAGCGUUAUUC
rnacentral:rRNA from 3 species